CGGGGCGUGGCGCAGCUGGCAAGCGCGCAGCGUUUGGGACGCUGAGGUCGGAGGUUCAAAUCCUCUCGCCCCGA
rnacentral:tRNA from 1 species